rnacentral:rRNA from 1 species
AGAGUUUGAUCAUGGCUCAGAUUGAACGCUGGCGGCAGGCCUAACACAUGCAAGUCGAACGGUAACAGGAAGCAGCUUGCUGCUUUGCUGACGAGUGGCGGACGGGUGAGUAAUGUCUGGGAAACUGCCUGAUGGAGGGGGAUAACUACUGGAAACGGUGGCUAAUACCGCAUAACGUCGCAAGACCAAAGAGGGGGACCUUCGGGCCUCUUGCCAUCAGAUGUGCCCAGAUGGGAUUAGCUUGUUGGUGAGGUAACGGCUCACCAAGGCGACGAUCCCUAGCUGGUCUGAGAGGAUGACCAGCCACACUGGAACUGAGACACGGUCCAGACUCCUACGGGAGGCAGCAGUGGGGAAUAUUGCACAAUGGGCGCAAGCCUGAUGCAGCCAUGCCGCGUGUAUGAAGAAGGCCUUCGGGUUGUAAAGUACUUUCAGCGGGGAGGAAGGUGUUGUGGUUAAUAACCGCAGCAAUUGACGUUACCCGCAGAAGAAGCACCGGCUAACUCCGUGCCAGCAGCCGCGGUAAUACGGAGGGUGCAAGCGUUAAUCGGAAUUACUGGGCGUAAAGCGCACGCAGGCGGUCUGUCAAGUCGGAUGUGAAAUCCCCGGGCUCAACCUGGGAACUGCAUUCGAAACUGGCAGGCUUGAGUCUUGUAGAGGGGGGUAGAAUUCCAGGUGUAGCGGUGAAAUGCGUAGAGAUCUGGAGGAAUACCGGUGGCGAAGGCGGCCCCCUGGACAAAGACUGACGCUCAGGUGCGAAAGCGUGGGGAGCAAACAGGAUUAGAUACCCUGGUAGUCCACGCCGUAAACGAUGUCUACUUGGAGGUUGUGCCCUUGAGGCGUGGCUUCCGGAGCUAACGCGUUAAGUAGACCGCCUGGGGAGUACGGCCGCAAGGUUAAAACUCAAAUGAAUUGACGGGGGCCCGCACAAGCGGUGGAGCAUGUGGUUUAAUUCGAUGCAACGCGAAGAACCUUACCUGGUCUUGACAUCCACAGAACUUUCCAGAGAUGGAUUGGUGCCUUCGGGAACUGUGAGACAGGUGCUGCAUGGCUGUCGUCAGCUCGUGUUGUGAAAUGUUGGGUUAAGUCCCGCAACGAGCGCAACCCUUAUCCUUUGUUGCCAGCGGUCCGGCCGGGAACUCAAAGGAGACUGCCAGUGAUAAACUGGAGGAAGGUGGGGAUGACGUCAAGUCAUCAUGGCCCUUACGACCAGGGCUACACACGUGCUACAAUGGCGCAUACAAAGAGAAGCGACCUCGNUCGCCGUCGAGGAACUCUUCAAUCACGAUACGGUGGCCCGCGUCGCCAAAGGCGUUGCCUGCCAGCAUGUCAUGAACGGCGGCUUCGGCUUCUUCCAGCGUCAUCGCCACGAUGACGCCUUUGCCCGCAGCCAGACCAUCGGCCUUGAUGACGAUCGGCGCGCCCUUCUCACGCAGAUAAGCCAAGGCAGGCUCAAUCUCGGUGAAAU